UACGAAGGGGGCUAGCGUUGCUCGGAAUCACUGGGCGUAAAGGGCGCGUAGGCGGCCAUUCAAGUCAGAGGUGAAAGCCCAAGGCUCAACCUUGGAAUUGCCUUUGAUACUGUUUGGCUUGAGACCGGAAGAGGUAAGUGGAACUGCGGGUGUAGAGGUGAAAUUCGUAGAUAUUCGCAAGAACACCAGUGGCGAAGGCGGCUUACUGGUCCGGUUCUGACGCUGAGGCGCGAAAGCGUGGGGAGCAAACAGG
rnacentral:rRNA from 1 species